UACAGAGGUCUCAAGCGUUGUCCGGAAUCAUUGGGCGUAAAGCGCGUGUAGGCGGCCUUGUAAGUCCGUUCUGAAAGCCCGGGGCUCAACCCCGGGAGGCGGAUGGAUACUGCAAGGCUCGAGUACGGAAGAGGCGAGUGGAAUUCCCGGUGUAGCGGUGAAAUGCGCAGAUAUCGGGAGGAACACCAAUGGCGAAGGCAGCUCGCUGGGACGUUACUGACGCUGAGACGCGAAAGCGUGGGGAGCAAACAGG
rnacentral:rRNA from 1 species